rnacentral:rRNA from 1 species
GACGAACGCUGGCGGCGUGCUUAACACAUGCAAGUCGAACGGAAAGGCCCUGCUUUUGUGGGGUGCUCGAGUGGCGAACGGGUGAGUAACACGUGAGUAACCUGCCCUUAACUUUGGGAUAACUUCAGGAAACUGGGGCUAAUACCGGAUAGGAGCUCCUGCUGCAUGGUGGUGGUUGGAAAGUUUCGGCGGUUGGGGAUGGACUCGCGGCUUAUCAGCUUGUUGGUGGGGUAGUGGCUUACCAAGGCUUUGACGGGUAGCCGGCCUGAGAGGGUGACCGGCACAUUGGGACUGAGAUACGGACCAGACUCCUACGGGAGGCAGCAGUGGGGAAUAUUGCACAAUGGGCGGAAGCCUGAUGCAGCAACGCCGCGUGCGGGAUGACGGCCUUCGGGUUGUAAACCGCUUUCGCCUGUGACGAAGCGUGAGUGACGGUAAUGGGUAAAGAAGCACCGGCUAACUACGUG